rnacentral:misc_RNA from 1 species
UGAGAAGCAAGAACCAUGAACACUAAGAUCUUAAUUCUUUCGGUCUGGCAGCCGUCGUUGUUGCCGACAGGCCUCAGACCUCGUACGGACAUCCUCAAGACUCCUCCGAGGAGUCAUUUGAGUCGUACGAGUCAGGAGAAGCCAAGUACGACUUCAGUUAUGCCGUUCAGCACGAAGACUCCGGCAACGAC